rnacentral:lncRNA from 1 species
AUACUCACCUUGCUCUUGGGGGACUGAGGAGAGGGAUGAAUCACAAUGAACCUGAACUUGCCCCUUCUGGCAACAGGAGAGGAGUCAGUCUGGAGGGCACAGGGCAAGGAAGAUGCUCCUUGCCAAAGUGAAGUCCCUGGGUUAGAGGGCCCUCCUCACAGGAUCUUCUCUGGGCCCCACCUUGAGGGCCCAGAGGGCCGUUCCAGGAUCUCUGUAUCGAUCCUGCUAAACAUACCUCUUUGUACACCACCCCAGUAAUCAACACUGAUAGGCCACGAAGCCGGACCCUCAACACUGGAGUCUCCUCAUUGAAUGAGAACUCUCCUUCCUUGUGGGCUCCUAGAAUGGAUACUUUUGUACCUCACUUGAUGUCAUCUAAUCGGAAGGGAGGACAGACAGGACCUUACCAGUUUUUUCCUCCACUCACCCCACUUCGGACUCAAAGCACCAACCAAGGCAGCUCUGAGUCUCCCCGAUAGCCAGCUAGCCAGAAUGGCUCCUGAAGAACGAGACAAUAUGAAGAACAACGUGGCAAAUCCAGGGACACAGGGGUGGAGAGAAGAAAGGGACAAUUUCAGCAACUCCCUCUGCCCCCUUUCCCCUUACACUCUCUCUCUCCCCCCAAAUAAAAUUAACUAAAAACAGACACACAACCAACCAAUAGCUCAUAGGCUAUGAAGCCUUUCCAGAAACCAAGAGCCAAAUGUCUUCACUGAAGACAUAUUUCAACUCCAUGGAAGGCCUUCUCCCCUCUGACUUUGCUCAGGGUCAUAUGGUUUAAGAGUCCACUGAGGAAGAACUCUCCAACUCUCCAGCCUGUCGCCCUCCCUGAGCUAACAAGCCAGCCCUAACAUCAAUUAUAGCUCACAUACCUGUAAUAAUUUAGGGUUUACAAAGCACUUUCCCCACAAAUAAAAUAGUGGAAAGGG